CCUACGGGAGGCAGCAGUGAGGAAUAUUGGUCAAUGGGCGCGAGCCUGAACCAGCCAAGUAGCGUGAAGGAUGACUGCCCUACGGGUUGUAAACUUCUUUUAUAAAGGAAUAAAGUGAGGCACGUGUGCCAUUUUGUAUGUACCUUAUGAAUAAGGAUCGGCUAACUCCGUGCCAGCAGCCGCGGUAAUACGGAGGAUCCGAGCGUUAUCCGGAUUUAUUGGGUUUAAAGGGUGCGUAGGCGGCCUUUUAAGUCAGCGGUGAAAGUCUGUGGCUCAACCAUAGAAUUGCCGUUGAAACUGGGGGGCUUGAGUAUGUUUGAGGCAGGCGGAAUGCGUGGUGUAGCGGUGAAAUGCUUAGAUAUCACGCAGAACCCCGAUUGCGAAGGCAGCCUGCCAAGCCAUGACUGACGCUGAUGCACGAAAGCGUGGGGAUCAAACAGGAUUAGAUACCCUUGUAGUC
rnacentral:rRNA from 1 species